ACUCCUACGGGAGGCAGCAGUGGGGAAUAUUGCACAAUGGGGGAAACCCUGAUGCAGCCAUGCCGCGUGUGUGAAGAAGGCCUUCGGGUUGUAAAGCACUUUCAGUAGGGAGGAAGGUAGUGUAGUUAACACCUGCAUUAUUUGACGUUACCUACAGAAGAAGCACCGGCUAACUCCGUGCCAGCAGCCGCGGUAAUACGGAGGGUGCGAGCGUUAAUCGGAAUUACUGGGCGUAAAGCGCAUGCAGGCGGCCUGUUAAGUCAGAUGUGAAAGCCCGGGGCUUAACCUCGGAAUUGCAUUUGAAACUGGCAGGCUAGAGUACUUGUAGAGGGGGGUAGAAUUUCAGGUGUAGCGGUGAAAUGCGUAGAGAU
rnacentral:rRNA from 1 species